rnacentral:tRNA from 1 species
GCCCUAGUAGCUUAAGUUCAAAGCCCCGGCCUUGUAAACCGGAGAAUGGAGAUUAAAGUUCUUCCUAGCGCA